rnacentral:rRNA from 1 species
GCUACAGGCUUAACACAUGCAAGUCGAGGGGCAGCAUGGUCUUAGCUUGCUAAGGCUGAUGGCGACCGGCGCACGGGUGAGUAACACGUAUCCAACCUGCCGUCUACUCUUGGCCAGCCUUCUGAAAGGAAGAUUAAUCCAGGAUGGCAUCAUGAGUUCACAUGUCCGCAUGAUUAAAGGUAUUUUCCGGUAGACGAUGGGGAUGCGUUCCAUUAGAUAGUAGGCGGGGUAACGGCCCACCUAGUCAACGAUGGAUAGGGGUUCUGAGAGGAAGGUCCCCCACAUUGGAACUGAGACACGGUCCAGACUCCUACGGGAGGCAGCAGUGAGGAAUAUUGGUCAAUGGGCGAUGGCCUGAACCAGCCAAGUAGCGUGAAGGAUGACUGCCCUAUGGGUUGUAAACUUCUUUUAUAGAGGAAUAAAGUCGGGUAUGCAUACCCGUUUGCAUGUACUUUAUGAAUAAGGAUCGGCUAACUCCGUGCCAGCAGCCGCGGUAAUACGGAGGAUCCGAGCGUUAUCCGGAUUUAUUGGGUUUAAAGGGAGCGUAGAUGGAUGUUUAAGUCAGUUGUGAAAGUUUGCGGCUCAACCGUAAAAUUGCAGUUGAUACUGGAUGUCUUGAGUGCAGUUGAGGCAGGCGGAAUUCGUGGUGUAGCGGUGAAAUGCUUAGAUAUCACGAAGAACUCCGAUUGCGAAGGCAGCCUGCUAAGCUGCAACUGACAUUGAGGCUCGAAAGUGUGGGUAUCAAA